GGAAGGGGUUUUGCUAUUUAAAGAAGAAAAAGACUACAACGCUAAUGACAACUACAAUGAUAAAAACAAUGACGAUGAUUCAGGAAUUUGCAUUGAUACCCACCCCUGAUGUUUGAAUCCUAGAUGGGCUGACUCCAGCAAAAUGGAAAAAGCACGUAGAGCCAGGCCUAUCUCUAGAGAGGAUUUCCCCAUGUUGUUCAGAGUGGUCUCAAACUACUGGGCUCAAGGGAUCCUCCUGCCUCAGCCUCCCAAAAUGCUGGGAUUCCAGAAACAAGGACGUUCUCCAUAACCAUGAGACCACCAUGGAAACGAUCAGCACCAUCGAAUUCUCACGCCCCACUCAAGUUCCUUGAUUAUUUCAAUAAUGUCCUCCAUAGCAAAAGGAUCUAGUUCAAAAUCGGAAGCUACAUUUUAUUGUCGUGCCUAAAACAUAAGAAUUGCUCAUUUACUUUGGAGCAGUUCUUCAGUCUAUCCUUGAUUUUCAUGACCUUGACACUUUUGAACAUUAUAGACCAGUUAUUCUCUAGAAUAUCUUUCAAUCUGGAUUUGUCAGAUACCUCUUUAUUAUUAAACUGAAAUGAUACAUUUUUGGUGGAAAUGUCACAGAAUUGACAUUGCACUCUCCUCAUUACAUCCUGUCUGGUGGCCUGUGAUUCUAU